rnacentral:rRNA from 1 species
CCUACGGGAGACAGCAGUGGGGAAUAUUGGGCAAUGGAGGAAACUCUGACCCAGCAACGCCGCGUGAAUGAUGAAGGUCUUCGGAUUGUAACGUUCUUUUCUAAGGGAAGAAGAAAGUGACGGUACCUUAGGAAUAAGCCUCGGCUAACUACGUGCCAGCAGCCGCGGUAAUACGUAGGAGGCAAGCGUUAUCCGGAAUGACUGGGCGUAAAGGGUGCGUAGGUGGUUUGACAAGUUGGUAGCGUAACUCCGGGGCUCAACCUCGGCACUACUACCAAAACUGUUGGAGUUGAGGGCAGGAGGGGCAAAUGGAAUUCCGAGGGGAGGGGGGGAAGGCGUAGAUAGUAGGAGGAAAACCAGUGGCGAAGGCGAUUUGCUGGACUGUAACCGACGCUGAGGCACGAAAGCGUGGGUAGCAAACAGGAUUAGAUACCCGUGUAGUC